rnacentral:rRNA from 1 species
GACGAACGCUGGCGGCGUGCUUAACACAUGCAAGUCGAACGGAAAGGCCCUGCUUUUGUGGGGUGCUCGAGUGGCGAACGGGUGAGAACACGUGAGUAACCUGCCCUUGACUUUGGGAUAACUUCAGGAAACUGGGGCUAAUACCGGAUAGGAGCUCCUGCUGCAUGGUGGGGGUUGGAAAGUUUCGGCGGUUGGGGAUGGACUCGCGGCUUAUCAGCUUGUUGGUGGGGUAGUGGCUUACCAAGGCUUUGACGGGUAGCCGGCCUGAGAGGGUGACCGGCCACAUUGGGACUGAGAUACGGCCCAGACUCCUACGGGAGGCAGCAGUGGGGAAUAUUGCACAAUGGGCGGAAGCCUGAUGCAGCAACGCCGCGUGCGGGAUGACGGCCUUCGGGUUGUAAACCGCUUUCGCCUGUGACGAAGCGUGAGUGACGGUAAUGGGUAAAGAAGCACCGGCUAACUACGUGCCAGCAGCCGCGGUGAUACGUAGGGUGCGAGCGUUGUCCGGAUUUAUUGGGUGUAAAGGGCUCGUAGGUGGUUGAUCGCGUCGGAAGUGUAAUCUUGGGGCUUAACCCUGAGCGUGCUUUCGAUACGGGUUGACUUGAGGAAGGUAGGGGAGAAUGGAAUUCCUGGUGGAGCGGUGGAAUGCGCAGAUAUCAGGAGGAACACCAGUGGCGAAGGCGGUUCUCUGGGCCUUUCCUGACGCUGAGGAGCGAAAGCGUGGGGAGCGAACAGGCUUAGAUACCCUGGUAGUCCACGCUGUAAACGGUGGGUACUAGGUGUGGGGUCCAUUCCACGGGUUCCGUGCCGUAGCUAACGCUUUAAGUACCCCGCCUGGGGAGUACGGCCGCAAGGCUAAAACUCAAAGGAAUUGACGGGGCCCCGCACAAGCGGCGGAGCAUGCGGAUUAAUUCGAUGCAACGCGUAGAACCUUACCUGGGUUUGACAUGGAUCGGGAGUGCUCAGAGAUGGGUGUGCCUCUUUUGGGGUCGGUUCACAGGUGGUGCAUGCCUGUCGUCAGCUCGUGUCGUGAGAUGUUGGGUUAAGUCCCGCAACGAGCGCAACCCUUGUUCACUGUUGCCAGCACGUUAUGGUGGGGACUCAGUGGAGACCGCCGGGGUCAACUCGGAGGAAGGUGGGGAUGACGUCAAGUCAUCAUGCCCCUUAUGUCCAGGGCUUCACGCAUGCUACAAUGGCUGGUACAGAGAGUGGCGAGCCUGUGAGGGUGAGCGAAUCUCGGAAAGCCGGUCUCAGUUCGGAUUGGGGUCUGCAACUCGACCUCAUGAAGUCGGAGUCGCUAGUAAUCGCAGAUCAGCAACGCUGCGGUGAAUACGUUCCCGGG